AACUGUUAACCAAUGGUGGAAAUGCAAGAAUGCUGAAGUUGUUCCUUCGGAGCCAAUAGAGUGGAUUUGUGUGUCCCACAUGACUGUGUUUCCCCUGUCUUUCACAUGGGCAGUAUUUAGUUCAAUUCAGAACUGCAGAUAGUAUAGCGUGCAGAGCAGCAAUGGGAUGUCUGAGCACAAGUGGCUGACUUCCAGGCGACUUCAGGAAGCACAUUUUUACAUUUCUCCUGAAUUAAACUGGGAUUCUGCACCCUUGACAUCCUCCUACCCUCCUUGUCUCUGCAGGAGGAGACAGCGACCUGCACAGCACAACGAAACUAUUGCUUAAAAACAAAUGCAGAAGUUUGCUGCGAGGCAAAUGGAAGUUGGGCACCUUUGCCUUCCAGAGGUGGUAACUCUACCUUUCACUGAGAUUAGCAAAAUCUACAAAGUCUCUCUUCAAAACAAACGACAAAUCACCACAGAGCUGCAGACCAGCAAAUGAAGUGAACUGAGGGCAAUUUGACCAACUUCAUCCAAGUCGAUUCCCCAGAAGUUGAUGAAACGUGUUAUCGGGUCUCCAAGAUGAGCAUCCAGGUGCCAGCUGGUGUAAACGCAGAUGCCACUGACGUCAAUGGAGCCGUGUCAGUUUACACUAGCUGAGAAUCUGAUCCCAAGUGUGUUAGUGCCAUUUUUAGACACUGCCACUGGAAUUCACUUUUGCAACACAAUCAAAAAUACAUCCACGCAUUGCAUUUUUUUCCUGUCCCCAAGUGUAUAACUAGAAGCCUGUUGACAGACUGUGGGAGAGGGCAAGUGGGAGGUGGAAGUAGCCAACAACUGUAUACAGGAGAUAACUUUGCAAUAUGACUAUUAACACUAUUGUUCUGUUGUCUUCUUUAUACACAAAUGAAUAUUUGCUUUCAAAAAGUCUUAACUCCACCUUCCGGUAAAAAUUCAUUGCCAGCAAAAGAAAAAAGAUGCUGUAAACCACACAGAGCAUCUACCACAUUAAUAUGUUAACAUACUAUUUUAAUCAGUGUAUCAUCUGAAUAGGCUGUUUUAAUUCACCAUUAGGGAAACUCAAAUUGUAAGAGCCCCUCCCCAAAACUGAGAUAUGUGUAUUCCCCUAAGUAUUUGUUCCUAAACGAUCUCACUGCUGUACAAACAGUUAGAUUGCUAAAAGUACUAAAACAGCUGUUUGAAGUAGUCUGCAAGCCAGACCUGUCCAACAUCUAUCGUUUAUAUUUCAUCAUGUGGGGGAGGGAGAAGGAAGAAAGGAAGAGGUGGGGCAACAAGCAGGGCAGAGUAGUACUUCACAGUACCAGCCACCAUUUCUAAGUAGAGAGAAGGAGCUUUUAUUAUCAUUUUACGUAAGGCAGCUAUUAAACAUGAAUCUACUGCCUAACAGUUACCAGUAUUAACCAGUACAAUGAAGUUGCAUGUUAGCCUUUUGAUUCAAGACAUCAAGGUCAAAAUGGAGAAGCUAACUAAUUAGAACUGAAGAUGCAGUUCACAUAGCAUCGAAGUUAUUGUCUGUUUGUGCAGCACAACACCCAUAUCUUCAAUUUAGGUCAGGGCUUCAAGAGGAGGAAAAAGACUGAAGAUGAGAUGCUCUACUUCACACAGUUGCCCUCUGGAAGGACUGGCAAAGGCAGUCACUUAAAUUAAGUACAGGUCAUCAGACAAGAUAUAUAAUCUAUUCCUAAAACAGGCAGCUCUAGCAGUCCAAAUCCCUAUGGCCUUUACAGCAACGCAACGAACUUCUUCCUCAUGUACCUCUGUCAAUUCAUGUUAGGCUCCAAUUUUUUUAAAGCGAUAUUUCAUGUACACCAUGGCCCUAUUGCUCAUAGCAAGGAAAGUGUUUUGGUUUAUUUAUGACCUACUAACCUUAAAUUAAAAAAAAACAAAACACAUACAUCCAAUCUGAAUGUUCACAUAAGCCUGCAGAUCUGAAAUAAAAUUUAAAAUAAAGUUGGCAUUUGUAACAGCUAGUUAAGCCCAGUAAGGGAUUUAAAAAAAAAAAAAUUAAAACCAGAUGAGAGAAGAUGAAAGCAUUUUUACCCUGCAUAACCUGCACACAUCAGGAAUCAAGGCUGGAGCUCAGAAGUUCUUUUUUGUGUUUUUGUACUUACAAGUUUCAGCCCAUUUCAACAGACACUAGGUAACCAGGGAAAUACUGAGGUUUUUCCAUUAUGGUACAGGGGGUAUGGGGGGAUAAUAACCUGUGAAAAGAAUUCCUUCUAAGAUGCAAUCCACCCAGCUGCAAGCUUUACAUAGCUCCUCUCCUUCUCCUACACCCCAUCCUAACUGCCAGGUAUCAGCCAGGCAAGACCCCAUAUUGAAAUACGAAGUGACAGAUGGAAGCAGAGAAUAAGAGCAUAGGAAUAAGUACUGAAAGAAAUGACAUACAGAAAGAAAGUUUAUAAUAGGACGGAUGUUAAACAUGAGUGACCCUAAACCAUAAAGUCUCUUCAUUUAGCUAAAACAACGCUGAACAGAUGCAGAUGCACAAAAGACUACCGAGUUGGGGAGCCUUAUUCUCUAAUCACGCAUGCUGGUGUAAGGAACUCCUUCAUAACAUCCACAGAAUUGAACUGUGAGAAAACCAGUACAAAGAAAUGGGAAAAAAAAAAAAUAAAAAAGAAGGUUGACUACCACAUUUCAUAAAGUUCAGAUAUAUUCAUAAUCACAGUGGCUUUCCUAAACAAAACACAUCUAAUCUACCAUAAAGGAGAAAAUUAGUCGAUUCCAAUAGGCUAUAUUAGUGAGACUCUGUCCUGUAGACACAUGUGAUAGAAAAUACAGUUGAGUUAAAUGAUGUAAUAAAUUCAUCUACAUGCAGAGCAAUUAUUUGUAAGAAACAGCUGGGACAAAGUCCUUGUAAUAUUGUUUGUUUACAAAAUAUAUACAGGCAGCACACUUACGACCUCAAGUCUUUUGGUGCUGGGUCCCUUUAUGCAAGUACCAACAAAUUUAACAAAAAACCACAUUUAUAAAGAUUUUUAAAAUAAUCAGAAAUCGAUGAGAAAAUUUAAGACAUCUUUUACCAAAGAACUAUUUAAACAAACGGCAAUUCCUGAAAGCCAAUGAAUCAGUCACAAUUUCAGUGCAGCAAGGUAAGAGUGGACCUAGCAAAAAAGAAUUCAGAUCAGCUGAACUGCAAGACUACCUUCUACAGGAGAACUCUGCUCACCAAUGCAAAUAAGAGAGAAGUUUGGAAAAUUGCCAGCUCCUUGCACAAAGACUGAAAUGGGAUGGGCAGAGAAGUGUGUUGGUGGCGACAUUUGCGGAUGCUGUCAAGUCAAUGGACUUCUGUUGUAGUGGUUGCUUCAGUGAACAUUCAACGCUGUCGGCCUUAACACCGAAGAUAGCAACCUAACCACCACAUGAUGUUUCUCCCCCACUCUCUCAAGCUUUACCACAAAAGGUCACAAUCAACAUUCAUUGCUGUCGGUGGGUUUAACUAUGUGGACAAGCUCACUGAACAAUGAAUGCAACUGUGGCCCCACAUUUUACAGUUGCCAUUGAGAGGCACAUCAGCUCUGAAAGCAGUAGUGAGAAGCAAACACUUCUUAUAGGCUAUAUUUUUAUGGUAAAAAAAAAAAAAAAUAGUUGGGGAUAGUCACUUUUUGCUUGCGUGUUUGUAAAUGUGUUUAACUUCGCUGACUAGGAAAAAAAACACCUCACUGCCUUUUUCUGAAAUAUUGUCCUCCCAGGGAUAAGCAUCGUUGAAACGACAGUCAGUAUAUAGGUGGAAACUAAUAACAACAUGAAGAAAUUUGUGUAUAUUCACUCCUAAGGACUCUGAGCAUAAGAGGAAAGAAUAUUUAAAUCUUAUGUUAACUAGGCAUUGUGGAAUAGUUCAAAAAUUUCUUCUAUGCUUGUCACAGCAAAUGCAAAUGGGAGCCAGAGUUCAAAGACAUAGAUAAAAUAUUAUAUCAAAGGAUUCAUUAAUUUUAUACGAAACUGAUCUUAAGCACCUAAAUAAAUAUUAUUAGACAGCAAAUACUACUAUAUUUACCUUUUUUAGGAAUCUGAAAGGUGAUAAACGUAUAUCCAGUAAUAAUAAUGGAACAAUAGUUAAACUGUAAAAUUACUGUAAACUUUGGGUACCUAUGUCACACACUCAUUAUUGCUGAUCAUAAUAAGAAAAUAAAAGUGUA